AGAGUUUGAUUCUGGCUCAGAACGAACGCUGGCAGCGUGGAUUAGGCAUGCAAGUCGAACGAGAAUCUCCGGUUUCAAUCCUUCGGGGAAGUUACUGGAGAGGAGAGUGGCGAAAGGGUGAGUAACGCGUGGGUAACCUACCGCUAAGCUGGGGAUAACUCACCGAAAGGUGGGCUAAUACCGAAUGUGGUUAUUCGUCGCAUGGCGAAUGGACUAAAGAUGGGCUAAUCUUCGGAUCCUGUCACUUAGCGAGGGGCCCGCGUCCUAUCAGCUUGUUGGUAAGGUAACGGCUUACCAAGGCUUACGGGUAGCUGGUCUGAGAGGAUGAUCAGCCACACUGGGACUGAGACACUGCCCAGACUCCUACGGGAGGCUGCAGUCGAGAAUCAUAGACAAUGCGCGAAAGCGUGAUCUUGCGACGCUGCGUGGAGGAUGACGGCCUUCGGGUUGUAAACUCCUGUCGUUUGGGAACAACAACGCUACGGUUAAUACCCGUAGCGCCUGAUAGUACCAAAGGAGGAAGCCACGGCUAACUCUGUGCCAGCAGCCGCGGUAACACAGAGGUGGCGAGCGUUGUUCGGAUUUACUGGGCGUAAAGCGUGCGUAGGUGGUUUUGUGUGUCGGGUGUGAAAUCCCACGGCUCACCCGUGGAAUUGCAUUCGAAACUGCAGGACUAGAGUGCGGGAGAGGAAAGCGGAAUUCUUGGUGUAGCGGUGGAAUGCGUUGAUAUCAAGAAGAACACCGGUGGCGAAGGCGGCUUUCUGGAACGCUACUGACACUGAGGCACGAAAGCUGGGGGAGCGAACAGGAUUAGAUACCCUGGUAGUCCCAGCCGUAAACGUUGUCUACUUGGUGUGGGGGGAUUUGACCCCCCCCGUGCCGAAGCUAACGCGAUAAGUAGACCGCCUGGGGAGUACGGCCGCAAGGCUAAAACUCAAAGAAAUUGACGGGGGCCCGCACAAGCGGAGGAGCAUGUGGCUUAAUUCGAUGCAACGCGAAGAACCUUACCAGGGCUUGACAUGUAACUGCAUUCCCCUUGAAAGGGGGGAAGCCUUCGAGGGUGUUACACAGGUGCUGCAUGGCUGUCGUCAGUUCGUGCCGUGAGGUGUUGGGUUAAGUCCCGCAACGAACGCAACCCCUAUGUCUAGUUGCCACCGCAGGUGAUGAGCCUGCGAGCACUCUAUACAGACUGCCCGUGUAAGCGGGAGGAAGGUGGGGAUGACGUCAAGUCAGUAUGGCCCUUAUGCCCUGGGCUGCACACGUGCUACAAUGGUCGGUACAAUGGGAUGCAAUACCGCGAGGUGGAGCCAAUCCCCAAAGCCGGCCCCAGUUCGGAUUGGAGUCUGCAAUUCGACUCCAUGAAGCCGGAUUCGCUAGUAAUGGUGCAUCAGCUACGGCACCGUGAAUACGUUCCCGGGCCUUGUACACACCGCCCGUCACAUCAUGAAAGCCGUCUGCACCCGAAGUCGCUGAUCCAACCUGCUUCUCGUAGGAGGAAGGCGCCGAAGGUGUGGGUGGUGAUUGGGAUGAAGUCGUAACAAGGUA
rnacentral:rRNA from 1 species